rnacentral:rRNA from 1 species
GAUGAACGCUAGCGAUAGGCCUAACACAUGCAAGUCGAGGGGCAUCACAUGAAGUAGCAAUACGGAUGGUGGCGACCGGCGCACGGGUGAGUAACACGUAUGCAACCUGCCUUCAACAAGGGGAUAACCCGUUGAAAGACGGACUAAUACCCUAUAACACAGGGGUCCCGCAUGGGAAUAUUUGUUAAAGGACAACCGGUUGAAGAUGGGCAUGCGUUCCAUUAGCUAGUUGGCGGGUAACGCCCACCAAGGCAACGAUGGAUAGGGGAACUGAGAGGUUUAUCCCCCACACUGGUACUGAGACACGGACCAGACUCCUACGGGAGGCAGCAGUGAGGAAUAUUGGUCAAUGGACGCAAGUCUGAACCAGCCACGUCGCGUGAAGGAAGACGGCCCUACGGGUUGUAAACUUCUUUUAACGGGAAUAAAGUGCCCCACGCGUGGGGUUUUGCAUGUACCGUAUGAAUAAGGAUCGGCUAACUCCGUG